UACGAAGGGGCUAGCGUUGCUCGGAAUCACUGGGCGUAAAGGGUGCGUAGGCGGGUCUUUAAGUCAGGGGUGAAAUCCUGGAGCUCAACUCCAGAACUGCCUUUGAUACUGAGGAUCUUGAGUUCGGGAGAGGUGAGUGGAACUGCGAGUGUAGAGGUGAAAUUCGUAGAUAUUCGCAAGAACACCAGUGGCGAAGGCGGCUCACUGGCCCAUUACUGACGCUGAGGCACGAAAGCGUGGGGAGCA
rnacentral:rRNA from 1 species